ensembl:misc_RNA 7SK 7SK RNA
GGGCUCCCGAAACUUCACGCUUGGUUGAAGAGGACGACCAUCCCUGAUAGAGAACCGGUCUUCGGUCAAGGGUAUACGAGCAGCUGCACUCCCCUGCUAGAACCUCCAAACAAACUCUCAAGGUCCAAAGUGUGAGAGGGUGGCCGCGC